rnacentral:lncRNA from 10 species
CUUCUGAGGCAAGGUCACAAAAGGCAUAUAGCUUCCUCUUCCUUAUGGUUUUCUUGGAACAUCGGGAAGCACAAGCAGCUGCAUGUAGGUGUUCUGGCCAAAGUCCCCGGUGGGGCGUUGAAGUCCCACUGUUAGGUCUUCAGCGUUAAUUGCCAGACAUGUGAGUAGUGACAAGCUUUUAGAUGGCUCUGCCCUCAGCCAUUGGGUUACCUGCAGCCUUUCAGUCUUUUUAACAAAGGCCCCAGACUUUGUGGAGCAAAGAGAAGCUGUCCUCACCUUGCUCUUUCCAAAUUUCUGAGCUACAGAAUCUGAUACUGAGAUUUCAGAAUAUGGUUUGUUGCUGUUGUUGCUCACCUGUGUUUUCUGACUUUGCUGCAGAUUUUCUAUGAAUGGAUUUUCUGCCUUCUGGUAAAACACAAACAUGUUUAACGGGCCCCCAAAUUCCCCUGGCUGGAUUUGUUUUACAUUCAGGAGCAAAGCCAUUAAUGCAAUUUCAGGCCUUUACUGUCUGGAGCUGUCUUCCCUGGAGCUUCUGAGCCAUAGGCGAGAAUGGUGUCUGGAGAUACAUAGGAUCUACAUAAUUGAAAACUCCCCAAAUCCAUCUCUCAUGUGAAGUAUCGACUGCUUUUGUUCCUUUCACUUUCUUAUUAUUUUUUUUCCUUUUCUACUUACGGAGACUCAUUUUUCUAACUGAAAAUAGAAAACUUUAUCAGAUUGGAAUAACAGUCCCUCUUGCUGUAGUUUUUUUUCCCCAAAGACUGGAUGAAUUUGGGCCUCGUCAGAAAGCCAUCUGCUGUGUACGAACAGACCUAUUCAGAGCCAGGAAAAGAAAACGAAGGAGGGGGAAAGCCCUGGCUUACUCAUUUUAAAACAAAGAGCUGCGGCUUGCGAACUCCACCACGCCUUUGACAAAAGCUGACCGUGGGCAGCGGGCACUGACUGGGAAGGGAGGAUGUGAAGAGCUCUGCAUUGCACACGGUGGUGACCUUGCAGAACUUUGCUACCAAUAAAGAAAAGAUGUUUACUGAACAGGGAAGGAGGCUCCAAGUCAUUCCCUCUAAGUUGGCACCAGUUCUCCAUGGAAAAUGGCCAUUUGGUUUGUGUUCCAUUGCCUGCUUCAUCAAUGCCCUCUCCUUACUGGCUCUAUUUAACUUCUUGUUAUUCCUGCUGUGUCAGGC